rnacentral:rRNA from 1 species
CCUACGGGAGGCAGCAGUGAGGAAUAUUGGACAAUGGGCGCAAGCCUGAUCCAGCCAUGCCGCGUGCAGGAAGACGGUCCUAUGGAUUGUAAACUGCUUUUGUACAGGAAGAAACACUCCCUCGUGAGGGAGCUUGACGGUACUGUAAGAAUAAGGAUCGGCUAACUCCGUGCCAGCAGCCGCGGUAAUACGGAGGAUCCAAGCGUUAUCCGGAAUCAUUGGGUUUAAAGGGUCCGUAGGCGGUUUAAUAAGUCAGUGGUGAAAUCUGGUCGCUCAACGAUCAAACGGCCAUUGAUACUGUUAGACUUGAAUUAUUAGGAAGUAACUAGAAUAUGUAGUGUAGCGGUGAAAUGCUUAGAUAUUACAUGGAAUACCAAUUGCGAAGGCAGGUUACUACUAAUGGAUUGACGCUGAUGGACGAAAGCGUGGGGAGCGAACAGGAUUAGAUACCCUGGUAGUCCACGCCGUAAACGA